CAACUGGGAUUGCCUUAGUAACGGCGAGUGAAGCGGCAAAAGCUCAAAUUUGAAAUCUGGUACCUUUGGUGCCCGAGUUGUAAUUUGGAGAGUACCACUUUGGGACUGUACUUUGCCUAUGUUCCUUGGAACAGGACGUCAUGGAGGGUGAGAAUCCCGUGUGGCGAGGGUGUCAGUUCUUUGUAAAGGGUGCUCGAAGAGUCGAGUUGUUUGGGAAUGCAGCUCUAAGUGGGUGGUAAAUUCCAUCUAAAGCUAAAUACAGGCGAGAGACCGAUAGCGAACAAGUACAGUGAUGGAAAGAUGAAAAGAACUUUGAAAAGAGAGUGAAAAAGUACGUGAAAUUGUUGAAAGGGAAGGGCAUUUGAUCAGACAUGGUGUUUUGCGCCCCUUGCCUCUCGUGGGCUUGGGACUCUCGCAGCUCACUGGGCCAGCAUCGGUUUUGGCGGCCGGAAAAAACCUAGGGAAUGUGGCUCUGCGCCUCGGUGUAGAGUGUUAUAGCCCUGGGGAAUACGGCCAGUCGGGACCGAGGACUGCGAUACUUGUUAUCUAGGAUG
rnacentral:rRNA from 1 species